rfam:Ictidomys tridecemlineatus contig006798, whole genome shotgun sequence.
AGGGUUGUGGCUCAGUGGUAGAGCACUCACUUUGCAUGUGUGAGGCUCUGGGUUUGAUCCUCAGCACCACAU